UCAAUUUUUUUUUUUUUUUUGCAAGACAUCUUGCGAAUACUGUGUUUAAGUCCCUUAGACAGUUUGCAGGGAACCCUCUACAUUUGUAGCCCGAGGUACACCGUGGCUUUCGAAAGGAUAUGGAAUGUAUUGCAAAGGAAGGAAGAGACGCUUCUCCGCUGUAAUUCACAUGGAUGAGCCAGGGCACAAAUAACUGAAUAUACAUCAUUGUUGACUAUGCAAAGAUGACUUUCUUGACUCCUGAUCAGUAAGAGAGGCACGCCCUUUAUUUUUCUAGCAGUGAUAAUAGGUCCAUGCUGAUCUUUCUUCCCAUUUGCUUUUCUUUGUAACCAGAAGCAAGGUGAUUGGCUUGUUACCAGUACCAACCAAUAAAUAUUUAAAGAUAAUGUAAAUAUUUAUGUUAUUGAUAUAUAAAGACUUUUAAGAAAGAAUUAA